ensembl:snoRNA
AGGUUAAGAAAUAGUAAUAAUAAAUCAACUGACCUGAAAUGAAGAGAAUACUCAUUGCUGAUUACGU